UACAGAGGUGGCAAGCGUUGUUCGGAAUUACUGGGCGUAAAGGGCGCGUAGGCGGUUCGUUAAGUCCUGUGUGAAAUCCCCCGGCUCAACUGGGGAACUGCACAGGAAACUAGCGGGCUUGAGUUCGGGAGAGGGAAGCGGAAUUCCGGGUGUAGCGGUGAAAUGCGUAGAUAUCCGGAGGAACACCGGUGGCGAAGGCAGUGUCCUGGGGAGCAUCUGACGCUCAGGUGCGAAAGCUAGGGGAGCGAACGGG
rnacentral:rRNA from 1 species